GAUGAACGCUGGCGGCGUGCCUAAUACAUGCAAGUCGAGCGAACGGAGGAGAAGUUUGCUUCGAUGAUGUUAGCGGCGGACGGGUGAGGAAUAGGUGGAUAACCGACAUAUAAGACUGGGAUAACGUCAGGAAACCUGAGAUAAUACCGGAUGAUAUGGUGAACGGGAUGGUUCAAAAGAGAAAGACGGUCUUGAUGUCACUAAUAGGUAGAACCGGGCUGGAUUAGCUAGUUGGUAAGGUAACGGCUUACCAAGGCAACGAUGCAUAGCCGACCUGAGAGGGUGAUCGGCCACACUGGAACUGAGACACGGUCCAGACUCCUACGGGAGGUAGCAGUAGGGAAUCUUCCGCAAUGGGCGAAAGCCUGACGGAGCAACGCCGCGUGAGUGAUGAAGGUCUUCGGAUCGUAAAACUCUUUUAUUAGGGAAGAACAUAUGUGUAAGUAACUCUUCACAUCUUGACGGUACCUAAUCAGAAAGCCACGGCUAACUACGUG
rnacentral:rRNA from 1 species